CGGUGCGGGGUAACGGGGUUAGAAUAGACGUACAGCCUCUAUGAAUCCUACAUCAAAACGAUGCCGCUUGGUUCGGGACCAAGAGGCCGCAGGUUCGAAUCCUGUCGCCCCGACCA
rnacentral:tRNA from 1 species